UGUUCAUGGCCGUAAUUGCUUUGUGAUCUUCUCAUUGCAUUGGCAUUACAAUUAGAAUGAAAAUAUGGGACGAAGCGGGAGAAAUUUAUAGGCAAAAAGAUUUUGAGGUAAACAAGAGUAAAUCUGCAGAGGGAAUCAAAGAAGACGUUGCAACAGACUCCUUUCUUUUCUUUAAUCCAUUUUAGAAAUUUUUACGAUUAUUUUCUAUGAAUAGUCAAAAGUAUGGGAAAAAAAAAAAAAAAAGAAUUUGAAUGUUUUUACUUCAACCUUUCAUUUUUUUACUUUUUUAUAAACUAAUCUUUAUUCUAUAAGAAUGAGAUGCAAAUUAUAAGAUGAGAUUGAUUCUUAUUAAAUA